GAUGAACGCUGGCGGCGUGCCUAAUACAUGCAAGUCGAGCGAACGGACGAGAAGCUUGCUUCUCUGGUGUUAGCGGCGGACGGGUGAGUAACACGUGGAUAACCUACCUAUAAGACUGGGAUAACUUCGGGAAACCGGAGCUAAUACCGGAUGAUAUUUUGAACCGCAUGGUUCAAAAGUGAAAGACGGUCUUGCUGUCACUUAUAGAUGGAUCCGCGCUGCAUUUGCUAGUUGGUAAGGUAACGGCUUACCAAGGCAACGAUGCAUAGCCGACCUGAGAGGGUGAUCGGCCACACUGGAACUGAGACACGGUCCAGACUCCUACGGGAGGCAGCAGUAGGGAAUCUUCCGCAAUGGGCGAAAGCCUGACGGAGCAACGCCGCGUGAGUGAUGAAGGUCUUCGGAUCGUGAAACUCUGUUAUUAGGGAAGAACAUAUGUGUAAGUAACUGUGCACAUCUUGACGGUACCUAAUCAGAAAGCCACGGCUAACUACGUG
rnacentral:rRNA from 1 species